AGUAAUGUGAAAUGCAGAAUCUCGUGAAUCAUUGAAUCUUUUAACGCACAUUGCGCCCUAUGGUAGUCCGUAUGGCAUGCCUCUCUGAGCGUCAGCUCGUCUACUCAAGCUCUUUUGCUUGGAUAACAUUGGAUCAGCAAUACAAGCUCCUUUUGGGGUCUGUGUGCCUUCCAGAAUUUAAUAGGCGGUACGGUUCUAGCAAACCAGACGUAAUAAUAUUCUUAUCUAUCGUUAAUUUGAUUAAAGUGUUGCUUGCCUUCUAAUCCACAUCUUUUUCAAGAUGACCUCGAUCAGGUAGGGAUACCCCG
rnacentral:rRNA from 1 species